rnacentral:lncRNA from 1 species
AAUGAAACAGGAAUCAAAACUCCUUCUGAUAGCAGUAAAGCUGGAAGCAAUUCCAAGCCUUUCUUGAGCAGAAAGGCUGCUCUUGACUGUUAUUCCCAGAAACGAGCACUGUCAUCCGCUGAACACUUCAACCACACUAAAAGAGGCACCUGGACUCAGAAGAUUGAAGCUCUGCUCAGUUUUCUCAAGUUGGAUAUUCUGGUAUUUCUGGUGCAUCCUGCAUAUGUAGAAGCAGCAAAAUUUGUCUUGGGGAAGAGAGGCAUCAGCACGGAGAGGGGACAGAUGGUGAACGUUACCGAGACCAAACUACGGCUCGAUCUUUGCAGAGAGAGCGGGUCCUGCAAGAACAAGGAAAGAUAUCAGUUAAAUUGUCACAAAUAAGCCCCAAACUGUUCUGAAAGAGCAUCUGAUUUCCUAAAUUAAUCUGAAAGGGUUCUCCAAAGCUCACCUCUUUUAGAAGUUGUCCACCACCUCAUUUUUUAUGUCCUUCUGAAAAAUCUGUUGUUAAUGAAGAGCUGUGGUAACUCUUCCAAGAAGGUCACUUCAGAACUACACCUCAGCCAAGUGUCAAAGAAAACUUCUCAACAAAUAUCCAUGUCCUUGGGUAGCUCCAGCUGACUGGGACUUCCCUACUCCUUAAAACCCCAAGAGCUUGGGGUGUGUAAUGAUUCCUUUCAAGGUGACAAUAACUUGCAGGUGCUGUUCCAGUUCUGGGACAGGCCAUGGCUGAAUGAGGGGUUGGGUCAUGGGGAAAACUCGCUGUGGACAUCAUGGAGAUGUCUGUUUGAUGUACAGGAG